GUCUAACCGUCGAACCGAUCUCGCCCAGCACGGCGCCUACCCAGUCCCACCCGGCUCGGCUCGUCAGCCGAUCCCAGCGUUCCGAGCUGGCUGCCUAGCGUCACGGGCGACGCGCCGCCGCCCCAAAUUACGGCAUUCCCCCGUUGACCAUGACAAACUCAAAUCCUUCCCGUGCUUCGUACGCCGCCGGCGACGAUCCCGUCCCAACCACAUCACAAGCUUCAAAUCUGCUCGCAUCCCUAUCCAUAGCCAUCUACCACCCACUGCUGCUCCGUUCCCAUGCACAUCCUCCUCCGAUUUUAUACCAGGUUGCAUAGCUUUGUUUGAUUCUAUCGAUUUUAGGUACUGGCAGGUCUCAACGGCUGUUAGCAUCCCUCCACCGGCGGCGUGUCACUGCUUCCUCACGGCGACUGUCAUUGUUGACGCACUGGUGGCCCUUUAAUCCCCAUCUCCACAAAGCGGACAUAAUCCGAGGUGAGCAGAUCCACAUAGUUGCACCUAUCCAUCAACCAUGAGGUUCGUGAUUCCUUUAGAGUUUCCACGGCGUGAAUUGCCAGGCGUGGCUACUGGCUUACUGCUACGGGAAGACAUACGAGCGGGACGGCGGCGCACCUGUGGACGCGGGCAUCCUUACCGCAGCUGCAGGUCGUCCAGGCACGAUUAACCAAGGGUUAUGUUUAUGCAUUCUCUGUGUUUGCGUAAAUGCUCAAGAGAAGCUGAUGACCUGCCGCCUGCGCAGGCAAAGCAUUACCCAUCAUUUCUCUAUGCAGUUACAGGUUUCUUCCUGCAGAUUAAGUUCAUCUGUUGAUAGUCCGGACCUGGCCGUUUGCCAUCCCUUCACUGCUGGGAAUAGGCAUUACUAGACCAGAAACAAAGAUUCUGCGGCAAGCAACCGCAAAAAUCCUUCAUACUAAGUCAGCAUUGAUCUGAUUCCUUUUGGAUUAGCAGCAGAUUCCCUCAAGAUUAGCAGCAGAUUGCCCUUGCUUUUCAGGUGAUGAUUCCUUUAUAUCAAGUUUCGCGCAAGAUGAGCUCACCUAAGAGCAGCUAACAGGCAUUGUGCAUUGAUUUGAGUACAAUAUCUGCCCAACCAGAUGCAGCUGAAUGAGAGCACCUCUAAAUGAUUCUCUCAAAUACCGGAUGUAAAUUUAUUUAGCUAAUGUUUCUAUUUAGUGUGAUGUUUAUAAAAUUAUUGUAUUUGUCCUGCCAAAAUGGGUUAUAUGUAUAUAUUAUAGUAAUCCAUCUUUCUCGAUUAAUCUAUUUACGGUAAUCCACCAUAUGUAUUCCGUUAUGUUAGGCAUUUUUGUAAUUCAUACAUGUUCUGUCAAGAUAUUAGAUAUAUAUUCGAACCAUCUUUCCUAAUUGUA